GUGGGGAAUAUUGGACAAUGGGCGAAAGCCUGAUCCAGCCAUGCCGCGUGAGUGAUGAAGGCCUUAGGGUUGUAAAGCUCUUUCAGUAGGGAAGAUAAUGACGGUACCUACAGAAGAAGCCCCGGCUAACUUCGUGCCAGCAGCCGCGGUAAUACGAAGGGGGCUAGCGUUGUUCGGAUUUACUGGGCGUAAAGCGCACGUAGGCGGAUUGGUCAGUUAGAGGUGAAAUCCUGGAGCUCAACUCCAGAACUGCCUUUAAUACUGCCAGUCUAGAGUCCAGAAGAGGUGAGUGAAACUCCUAGUGUAGAGGUGGAAUUCGUAGAUAUUAGGAAGAACACCAGUGGCGAAGGCGGCUCACUGGUCUGGUACUGACGCUGAGGUGCGAAAGCGUGGGGAGCAAACAGGAUUAGAAACCCUGGUAGUCC
rnacentral:rRNA from 1 species